AAACGCGUGAGAGAGAGAGAGAGAGGGAAGAAGAAAGGAGAAAGAGAGGGAGUUAGGCUCGGAUCCAGGAAACUUUGCGGCCGUUGCGAGCUCGGCUACGCGAUAGGAAUUGUUGGUGGAAUUUGUUCGGAAGUUAAGGAAUAAGCCGAGCCCUAUUUUGUACAAGAAGAACCCUUUUGGUACCAAAGGGUUGAGGUCCAGGCGAAGGAACCAGUGGAGGAUGGGGAAAGGAGCAGAGCUAGGGGUUGUUUGUGAAUUAUAAAGAACUACAACCCCUUUCUUUUGUGCAAAUCUAUUGUAAUGUAUUUAAGAUUAGGGUGCCAGUAGGAUAUGAUUAUGUAUAUGUGCGUGAGUAUGUGUGAAUUGUAUGGCUUGUGUAUGAAUUUUUGAUUGCUUGUAGACUUAUGGCUUGAA